GCUUUUGAAAAUAGCUCAGUUGGUAGAGCAUGAGAUUCUUAAUCUCAGGGUUGUGGGUUCGAGCCCCACUUUGGGCA